UGACUUGUGGCCUAGUGGAUAAGGAGAUUGACUGGAGAUUAGAAUGUUGCUGGUUCGAUACCCUGGGAGUCAA